GCAGGUUAUGAAAAGGUUUAGAGUUAGCUAAAAUACAAAAAAAUACUUGUUAAGAUAAUUUGACAAAAGCUGGAUCCCUUCUAUCCAUGACCGAAUUUUGGAGCGAAACGUUCAAUGCUUUGUGACAGACCUAGCCACCCCUGAGGACUUCUUUCAGAACUUGCACCUCUCUUGGUUGAGAAAACAUGCUGAGUAAGGGGAAGCAGGUCCGGUCUGUGGAAGUCAACGCCCAGGUCAUAGAUGAUCUGCACUGCCAGGCCGGUUCCAGACCUGUCCUCAAGGGAGGCUCCAUUGUUUAUGACUAAACUGAGAGGAUAUACAGUAGCCAGAUAAUUAGCCUUUGCUCUAGUGGUGGUUUCCAAAACUAGUUGUCAAAAGUAGAAAAUGUUAAGAUUAACAUCUCACACACGACAACUGGAGAACUAUUGUGUCUUGCUUUACACUAUUGGAGGCAAAGUGGAAUGGCGUUAGAGGUAAAAGAGGAGGAACAUUCCAACGUAUCCUCCCUCUGCCCUCACGUCCAGACCUGCGGCUCUCUAACCGUUUUAUGGCUCUGAGCCCCCUGACAUCACCGGGGCCCUCCGGUGAGGCCUUCCCACUCCACCUCAGCACCCAGCGCAAGCUCCUCUGUAUCUGGUCCUGGGUUAAUGAGCUGGCCAUCCCCUGGAUCAUAACACACCUCACAGGCUCACAGCGACAUUCUUGUCGUCCUCCACUAGUGGUUGUUAUAGGGAGCUCCAUAGUUAGGGAUGUGGUGGUCAUGGAAACAAGUACCCACUGCUUCCCUGGAGCCUGUGUUUGUGACAUAGAUCACCAGGACCAUGCUGUGAUGGAGAAGCAUCCAAAUUCUCACACAGUCAGCGCGGGCUCCCGAUUGGCGCAGUGGUCUAAGGCAGUGCUUGAGGUGCCACUACAGACACCCUGGUUUGAAUCCAGGCUGUAUCACAACUGGCUGUGAUUGGGAGCCCCAUAGGGUGGUGCACAAUUGGCCCAGUGUUGUCCGGGUUUGACUGGUGUAGGCUGUCAUUGUAAUAAGAAUUUGUUCUUAACUGCCUUGCCUAGUUAAAUAAAAAAUAAUGUUGGUACAAACCACAACAAUCUUCAUAAAUCGUGGUGAAUUUAAGAGGACUUCAGAGGGCUCAUAGGCAGGCUAGGCAGUGGGUCUCUACCAACAAAGGGUCACUGAAUGGAGUGCUUUAGUCGUCUCCUCUGGCAACACCUCUGGCUUAAAUCCUACUGUUCCUUGAUGCAUUUUGAAAACAUUGACCAUUUUCAGCACUUUUGGGAGAGGCCCCAGUUUUACAAGAGGGAUGGCUUGCAUCCAAUUAUGAAAGGGGCAUACGAAUUUGGCGAUAUCGUUUAUAGGAAUGCAGCUUUCACUGUAUUGAUGCCCUUGGACACAGUUUAACAUUGCGCUUUGUUACGAGCGAUUACAGGUAAUUGCAUUUUGAAUGAGAAAGUAGGCUGGCCCUCUCUGAAGUCUCGUAGAUUGAUGCAUUGCACUCUUUUUGUCAAAGACCUUUUGCAUUAACGUCCGACAUACCUUACGUCAUUGUUGACCUUCAGACCCGUGCUCAGGGAUGGCUAACCCUGGAGAUCUCUUUAAUCUCCACCGAGUUAAGGAAAUCUGCUUUCAGUUUUUUUGUGCCGCAUUUUGGAAUGCUCUCCAAAAGUCCUUAAAGUUGGUGGAUUGAGUGUUCGAAGUGUUUUGUUUUUCAGAUGAUUGUUUUGCUUUCUGUAUUUUUGUGUUUGCUUUUCAUGUGUUGUAUAAUUGUUG
ensembl:lncRNA